rnacentral:tRNA from 14 species
GCGCGUAGCACUCCUAAUGCUGAGGUUCCGGGUUCGAAUCCCG